rnacentral:rRNA from 1 species
GAUCAACGCUGGCGGCGUGCAUGAGACAUGCAAGUCGAACGGACGAACAGGGCUUGCUCUGUUCGUCAGUGGCGGACGGCUGAGUAACGCGUAGGUGACCUGCCCCGAAGUGGGGAAUAACUGCCCGAAAGGGUGGCUAAUACCGCAUGUGGUGAUGCGUUCAUUCGCAUCAGUAAAGCCGCAAGGCGCUUCGGGAGGGGCCUGCGUCCGAUUAGCUCGUUGGUGGGGUAACGGCUCACCAAGGCGACGAUCGGUAGGUGGUCUGAGAGGACGAUCGGCCACAUUGGAACUGAGACACGGCCCAGACUCCUACGGGAGGCAGCAGUGGGGAAUAUUGGACAAUGGGGGAAACCCUGAUCCAGCAAUGCCGCGUGAGUGAUGAAGGCCUUAGGGUUGUAAAGCUCUUUUACCCGGGAUGAUAAUGACAGUACCGGGAGAAUAAGCUCCGGCUAACUCCGUGCCAGCAGCCGCAGUAAUAC